ensembl:lncRNA
AGAGGACUCUUCAUUUACAUAAAUAUAUUGUAGAUGUGAUACAAACCACUGCAGCGCAGUACCUGUAAUCCCUACAGCACGCUCUAAUCGUACUAAUAAAAUAUUAUGGUCGACAGUAUCGAAAGCUGCACUGAGGUCUAGCAGGACAAGUACACACCGAGUCCACUGUAAGAGGCAACAUUUGUAACCUUCACUAAAGCCGUUUCUGUGCUGUGAGUUCUGAAACCUGACUAGAUCUCAUUUACAGUGGGGGCAGGCUCAAUUACAGUGCAUAUGAAAAAAAUAGCUAUUUACAAAAUCUUUAAGCAAGGAAAAUCUACAGUAUUUGUUUGCAAAGUCCAUUGUUUUUUUUGUUGUUUUUUGCCUGUCCCGUUUGGCUCUUUUGUCAUCAGAAUUGUUGUCUAAAGGCAAAGAAAGAUGCCCAAUGGAUUUACUUUACCAAAUUGACCAUCCCAGCCUUGCUGUAAUGGUCCAUUUGAUUCACCUUUUAUUGUUUAUUUUAUUUUCACUUACUGAAUACGGGACAGACUUGACUGGGGGAAAGAAGGGGAGAAAGAAAGAGGGAAAGAAAAACAGCUGAGAAGAGGGACGGGGGAGAAGGGCAAAAAACAAAAACCAACAGAAUGAGCAGGAAAAAAAAAAAAAAAGAAAAAAAAUGCAUAUAUCAAUCACCUGGAUCACCUGCUGAGAAAGAAAAAAGAAAACAAGCAGAAGAGAACAAGAGUAAUAGAAUAAACAACAUCACAAUGAUAUAUGGGAAUAUGACAGUAAAUACUAAAUGUUAAACAUUAUUGUGCAGCACAUAAGAUCAACAGAACACAGUGUGCUUUGAGGUAGGAGCCAAAAAGGGUGUAGUUUGUGGGUGUGAUCACCCGUGUGUACACCUGUGAGCAUGGGCGCGCUUGUUUUUUUUUUUUUUUUUUUUUUUUUUUUAAAAGGUUCCUUCAUGUAAUGAUCUGCUAGAGGGUGUGGGGGGGGGCACAGCCCCGUCCUCCAGGGCAUGAAGCAGGUAUGGAGGAGAUCAAAACUCCAGACAUCCAGAGGCCCCCAGAACACAAGCGACCAAGGAAGACCAACAGAGGGGCAGCCGCGCCACUGUCCCAGAAAGAGCUGAGGAGAGUCCCAGAUGAGGGCUCACUCAGCAGCCGCGGAGCAGAAGCCAGGGGGAGUUGGCAGCCAGCCGUGCCUGAGUGACCGAGCCCCAGGCCGAGAGGCCGGGGGCACCCCACCUCCGAAGUGGCCCGAGCGAGCCCCAGGCUCCAGGCCCCGAUAAGCGGCCGCCAAGGAGUGAGCCGGUGUGUACCCGGACGCCCAUCCCCGGACACAAAGAACCACCAACGCACCGAUGUCUGAGGGAGUCCGCCACCGGCAGGGGAAGUGGUGGUCGGGGGGAGAUGUAACACACCCAAAGAAAGAUUCUAGGUCUGACCAACCGUCUCUGUCGUGGGCAAAAAGAUGACAGUCAAUAAAAUUCU